CACAUGCAAGUCGAACGGAGCACCCUUGACUGAGGUUUCGGCCAAAUGAUAGGAAUGCUUAGUGGCGGACUGGUGAGUAACGCGUGAGGAACCUGCCUCAAAGAGGGGGACAACAGUUGGAAACGACUGCUAAUACCGCAUGACGCAUAGAGGUCGCAUGAUCUUUAUGCCAAAGAUUUAUCGCUUCAAGAUGGCCUCGCGUCUGAUUAGCUAGUUGGCGGGGUAACGGCCCACUAAGGCGACGAUCAGUAGCCGGACUGAGAGGUUGAACGGCCACAUUGGGACUGAGAUACGGCCCAGACUCCUACGGGAGGCAGCAGUGGGGAAUAUUGGGCAAUGGGCGCAAGCCUGACCCAGCAACGCCGCGUGAAGGAAGAAGGCUUUCGGGUUGUAAACUUCUUUUAAGAGGGAAGAGCAGAAGACGGUACCUCUAGAAUAAGCCACGGCUAACUACGUGCCAGCAGCCGCGGUAAUACGUAGGUGGCAAGCGUUGUCCGGAUUUACUGGGUGUAAAGGGCGUGCAGCCGGGUCUGCAAGUCAGAUGUGAAAUCCAUGGGCUCAACCCAUGAACUGCAUUUGAAACUGUAGAUCUUGAGUGUC
rnacentral:rRNA from 1 species